GCCCGUAUAGCUCAGUGGUAGAGCGCGUCACUCGUACCUGUGUGCAUAAUGACGAGGUCCGUCGUUCAAUCCGGCGUGGGGGCA